UACGUAGGGGGCAAGCGUUGUCCGGAUUCAUUGGGCGUAAAGAGCGUGUAGGCGGCCAGGUAGGUCCGUUGUGAAAACUCGAGGCUCAACCUCGAGACGUCGAUGGAAACCAUCUGGCUAGAGUCCGGAAGAGGAGAGUGGAAUUCCUGGUGUAGCGGUGAAAUGCGCAGAUAUCAGGAGGAACACCAGUAGCGAAGGCGGCUCGCUGGGCCACACCUGACGCUGAGACGCGAAAGCUAGGGGAGCGAACAGG
rnacentral:rRNA from 1 species